AGGAUUUUAAAACAAUCUAUCACCUAUCUUUGACCAUAUGGACUAAAAUUGAUAUCCACCAAUAGACACUGAUGCCUGCAAGUCAACAGCAUAAAGAGUGGUAAAGUCAGUGCUGCAAAAGAUGAAAUGUUUUUAAUGUGCUCUGGAGGCUAACCAUCCAAGACCAAGAUGUCAGCAGGAUUGGUUCCUGAGGGCCUUGAGGAAGAAUCUGUUCCAGGACUUUCCCUUUGGCUUGCCAUUGGCCAUAUUCUCUCUGUGUCUUCUCACGUCUUCCCUCUGUAUUUGUUUCCAAAUUUCCUCUUCUUAUAAGGACAGUAGUCAUAUUGGAAAAAGGAACACCCUAAUAACCUAAUUUUAACUUGAUUACCUCUUUAAAGACCUUAUCUCCAAAUACCAUCACAUUCUGAACUAUUAAAGAUUAAUGCGUCAAUAUAUGAAUUUUGUGAGGGGCAGGGAGACAGAAUACAACCAACCCACAACACCCAGAUACAUAGCGAAAUCUUCUUCUUCUAGGCCCCCUGUGCCUGUGUCCACCACUUCAUCCCCCAAUUAGCUAUAUUUGAAAAAGUAAGAGGGAAAGAACAGUUGGAGGGGGAAGAGAGAGAGAAAGAAGACAGACAACUUAGAUUAUGUGCCCUAGAUGUUGGCCUUACAAAACGGGAGCAAAUCUUAACCAAUCAUUGUAGCAAAACCUUUUGUUUAUGA
rnacentral:lncRNA from 10 species